CAUGGCUCCGAGGCUUUCGAGUCAAAAUUGCAAAUUUUUUAAUUUUCUUUUGUCUCACAAUUCCCAAACGAGACUGUGAUACAUAGGUUAGAAUAUUGAUACAACGAACGUGGCCUAUUGUUGAACGUCAACCUCAGGACACCGUAAGACGUUUCAGUAUUCAAAUUCACACAUUAAUUGCCUGAAAGUGGUCAGUAAUUGGACAUACGUAAAGAUGGUUACUUUAGUACUCUGUGGUCUACCGGCAAGAAUUAAAUGAAAUACAAAAGAUUCUGAUUUUCUUUCAAAUACAGUGAAUUGUGGCUAAUUGCCUCAGGAAAUUUAAAUAAAAUUAGGUCUGUUCUAGCUUUAAAACUAUGUUUCUGUUCGCCCUUUUUUGCCUUUACCUUGUACAAAACACAAUACUUUUCGCCUGUUACAAAUUAUUCUCUCUUGGUUUUGGCCUGUCGUGUCAAUUUAUGUGACAUUAGCUUAACCAUUUACCUUUUCCAGGACUUUGAAGCAAAACAAAAAUAACUUAAACAGCAUCCGAAAACGUAUAAUAGACUUUUCCCCAUUUUUCUCUGAUAUAAUUUCCUGCAAAUGGGAAACAUAAAACAGUGCUCGGCUUUUCACCUGCCACUUGAGUAUCAUCAAUGCUUAGUCACCGUACAUUGAGUCUCCCAUCACACUGAAAACAACCGAUUUCUAUGAUAUUUAAUUAAACUAUCUAUUAUAAACCUAAAUAUCCCUUUUAUUGUACUUUGAUAUUGUAUUAAGCGAAAGAAAGAUAUUGUGGUUGCUGUUGUUAAAAUCACGAAGUUGUUACUUUGAACUUGAACGUAAGUGUACUGCACCAACAAUAGUGUUAAAAACGUUGUGUAUUUACUUUUCCAGCGUUAAAAAUGUUUUUCAUUGACCCUUAGGCUCUCGACUUCUAUUUUAGAGUCAUAAAUUUGCCGAGAGGUCAUCGAAGUUUCUUAAGCAAGCCAAGUCAGUCUUGAUUCUACAGAUGAUGAAGCGGCUUCCUUCUCUCUUGCUUUGCCAAGCCAUUUUCCAGCUUGCAAUAGCAGCGAGUCUUCACGAUCUGAAACCAGAGAUACAAACACAACAAUUUCGGGAAGAGGUAUUGUGGACUUUGAUGUUAUGAUCUUGUGUGGAACUGGAGAAAGUGCGAUUCAUUACAAUGGCUACGGCUGUUACUGCGGUUUGGGUGAUCAAGGAACCCCUGUGGAUGACACAGAUAGGUGCCGCAAAAUACACGACAGAUGCUAUGACGGGAUAAAGAAGUCAGGCACUUGUUUCUCUCCGAAACGGACAUUGUCGACAUGCCUUGUGUGUGUGCGACUCAGCCGCUGUGCAGUGUUUUAUAAAGAGCAAGAACACUUUCAAUAAUUCUUACAAGAGCUAUGACAAAAAGAACGAAUGUCAGCUGUAAUUUGCCUUCAGUACUGAAGCAUUAAACACGUUAACAGUCGAAAAUGUCUGUGUCUUAUACUUUGUUACCGAUAAUAAACAAUUUUGUUGAAUUCUUGCUAAGGGCCUGCUUACAUGGUGAAUUUCAGCCCGGGCUGAAAUUUUAGCUCGGCUAAGGGGGCUGAAAUUUUGUUGCGAUUACAUGAAAUAUUUUCCUCGGCGCCAAAUAUGAAAUUGCGCGCGAAGAGUCUCAGGAGAAUCAAAAUGGCGCCGAGAACAGGUAUCGUGAAAAUAGGCGCAUUGCUUCUCUCGCAGUUUGGCCUUUUGUUAGCGUUCAAUUUUCAACUUUUUGGGAUGGUAACAGCCAACAAGAUGAUGGAACUGAAACGAAACCUGUCUUUGGCUACAUAUCUUUCAGCCAGAAAGACGUACUUGCAUAGAAAGAGAAGAUAUAAAUGCGAGCCAUGGCUUCCCUGACAGCCUCGUAAUGUUUAACCUUGUCUGCAUUGAAGUCGAUGUUCUUAUAUUCCAUCUGAGCUUUGAAAUUAGCGAGACAACGAAUAAGAUUCUCUAUUGUAUCUCCUUUAUUCCACUAAAAUAGCUUCUCCUUCGUAGCGGCAGCCAUCUUGUUUACUAGAAAACAAAAUCACUGGGCAUGUCCAACCUCGCUGAAAUUACGUUCCGAUUUUUCAGCCAAAAAAAAAAAAAA
rnacentral:lncRNA from 1 species